UACGUAGGGUGCGAGCGUUAAUCGGAAUUACUGGGCGUAAAGCGUGCGCAGGCGGCGCGUUAAGACAGGUGUGAAAGCCCCGAGCUUAACUUGGGAAUUGCGCUUGUGACUGGCGUGCUGGAGUGUGGCAGAGGGAGGUGGAAUUCCACGUGUAGCAGUGAAAUGCGUAGAGAUGUGGAGGAACACCGAUGGCGAAGGGACAGCCUCCUGGGCCAGCACUGACGCUCAUGCACGAAAGCGUGGGAGCAAACAG
rnacentral:rRNA from 1 species